UAAAAUAUGUUCUGUUUCAUACAUAUGUUUCCAUCCUUGGAGGUAUACAAAAGCUACCUGGACACAGUCCUGGUCAACCAGCUUUAGGUGGCCCUGCUUGAGCAAGGAGGGGCUGGACCAGGUGACCUC